CGCGUAGGCGGUUUUGUAAGUCGAAUGUGAAAGCCCCGGGCUUAACCUGGGAAUUGCGUUCGAUACUGCGAAACUAGAGUAGGGUAGAGGGAAGUGGAAUUCCGGGUGUAGCGGUGAAAUGCGUAGAUAUCCGGAGGAACACCAGUGGCGAAGGCGACUUCCUGGGCCAGUACUGACGCUGAGGUGCGAAAGCGUGGGGAGCAAACA
rnacentral:rRNA from 1 species